CCUACGGGCGGCAGCAGUGGGGAAUAUUGGACAAUGGGCGAAAGCCUGAUCCAGCCAUGCCGCGUGUGUGAAGAAGGCCUUCGGGUUGUAAAGCACUUUCAGUGGGGAAGAAAGCCUUGGGGCUAAUACCCUCGAGGAAGGACAUCACCCACAGAAGAAGCACCGGCUAACUCCGUGCCAGCAGCCGCGGUAAUACGGAGGGUGCGAGCGUUAAUCGGAAUUACUGGGCGUAAAGCGCGCGUAGGCGGUCUGAUAAGCCGGUUGUGAAAGCCCCGGGCUCAACCUGGGAACGGCAUCCGGAACUGGCAGGCUAGAGGGCAGGAGAGGAAGGUAGAAUUCCCGGUGUAGCGGGGAAAUGCGUAGAGAUCGGGAGGAAUACCAGUGGCGAAGGCGGUCUUCUGGACUGACACUGACGCUGAGGGGCGAAAGCGUGGGUAGCAAACAGGAUUAGAUACCCUAGUAGUC
rnacentral:rRNA from 1 species